rnacentral:misc_RNA from 1 species
AGUCGUAACAAGGUUUCCGUAGGUGAACCUGCGGAAGGAUCAUUACCGAGUUCCCUGCUCUGCAGUAACUCCCAGACCCUUCGCAUUACUUAUAGCGUUGCUUCGGCUGAGACGCUGGAAACAGCCAUUGACCUCUCACGUCGAUGCGUGCUCGCCGGAGUUUCAUACUCUACAUUAUGUGUCGUCAGAGAAUCAAAAUCUAAAAA